rnacentral:rRNA from 1 species
GACGUAGGAGGCGAGCGUUGUCCGGAUUCAUUGGGCGUAAAGAGCACGCAGGCGGUUUGGCAAGUCGGAUGUGAAAACCCGAAGCUCAACUUCGGGCCUGCAUCCGAAACUGCCCGACUAGAGGUAGGUAGGGGAGAUCGGAAUUCCAGGUGGAGCGGUGAAAUGCGUAGAGAUCUGGAAGAACACCAAAGGCGAAGGCAGCAUCCUGGGAAGAAUCUGACGCUGAGGUGCGAAAGCCAGGGGAGCGAACGGG